UAACUUUUAACAAUGGAUCUCUUGGCUCUUGCAACGAUGAAGAACGCAGCAAUAUGCGAUAACUAAUGUGACUCGCACAAGCUCGUGAAUCAUCAAGUUUUUGAACGCACAUUGCACUUCCUGGUAUUCCGGGAAGUACACCUGUUUGAGUAUCAUU
rnacentral:rRNA from 1 species